rnacentral:lncRNA from 1 species
UUUGGUUUAUGAUCCAUGAAAUUUGAUUAUAGAAUUUGGAUAUGGUGGACUAAAUUGGAUUCAGAUUUUUAUUGUAGGUUAGAUUGGAUUUGGAUUUUUUUUGUGGAUUUAGGUUUUGUGGGUUUUCGGCCUUUGGAUUUGGAUUUGGAUUUUUGUAGAUUUGGGUUUAUGAAUUUUGGGCCUUUGGAUUUGGACUUUUGUAGAUUUGGGUUUUAUGGAUUUUGAAUUUUUGUUUGUUUGGGUUUUUGUAGUGGAUUGGAUUGGAUUUGGAUUUUAUGGAUUUAGGUUUUGUAGGUUUUGGGCUUUUAUGAUGGGCUGCAUUUGAUUUGGGUUUUACCUGUUUAGGUUUUGUAGGUUUUGGGUUUUUAUGGAGGGCUGCAUUUGAUUUGAAUUUUAUGGGUUUAGGUUUUGUAGGUUUUGGGCUUUUAUGGUGGGCUGCAUUUGAUUUGGAUUUUAUGGGUUUAAGUGUAACGAACCGAAACUCGGUAGAAAAUAUCGAAUUUUAGCCAAAUUGACUAAAGUGUGUGAAAAAAAUAGUUGGGCAAGUUCCAUUUAGCUUUUCAAUAAUGUUGGAAGGGUUAAAAGUGAGUUUAAGAAGGGUUAGAAGGGUUUUAGCAUCGACCGGCGCUAAAUAGAAUCAAAACAAUGCGAAAAUUGCAUCCUGGGCAAAGUGUACCGGUACA